AGGGGUGUGGUGAAGUGGUAUCACAUCGGUCUCCAAAACCGCUAUUGCAGGUUCGAUUCCUGCCACCCCUGCCA
rnacentral:tRNA from 1 species